AUUAACGCUGGCGGCGUGCAUGAGACAUGCAAGUCGAACGGACGAGCGAGCUUGCUCGCUCGUUAGUGGCGGACGGCUGAGUAACGCGUGGGUGACCUGCCCCGAAGUGGGGAAUAACUGCCCGAAAGGGUGGCUAAUACCGCAUGUGGUGACUGGUUCGUUCCAGUCUCCAAAGCCGCAAGGCGCUUCGGGAGGGGCCUGCGUCCGAUUAGCUCGUUGGUGGGGUAACGGCUCACCAAGGCGACGAUCGGUAGGUGGUCUGAGAGGACGAUCACCCAGACUGGGACUGAGACACGGCCCAGACUCCUACGGGAGGCAGCAGUCGGGAAUUUUGCUCAAUGGGCGAAAGCCUGAAGCAGCAACGCCGCGUGAGGGAUGAAGGCCUUCGGGUUGUAAACUUCUUUUCUCAGGGACGAUAAUGACGGUACCUGAGGAAUAAGCCACGGCUAACUACGU
rnacentral:rRNA from 1 species